rnacentral:tRNA from 2 species
GCUGGCGUAGCUCAAUUGGCAGAGCAGCGGUUUUGUAAACCGCAGGUUGCGGGUUCGACUCCCACCGCCAGCU